AAUGAACGUUGGCGGCGUGGAUUAGGCAUGCAAGUCGAGCGAUAACCGUAGCAAUACGGCGAAAGCGGCGAAAGGGAGAGGAACACGCGGGUACCUACCCUCGGAUUCAGGAUAGCCAUGGGAAACUACGGGUAAUACUGAAUAGCGUCUCCGGACCAAAGGUGUGCUUCCGUCCGGGGAGGGGCCCACGUCCUAUUAGCUAGUUGGCGAGGUAACGGCUCACCAAGGCGAAGAUGGGUACGGGGUGUGAGAGCAUGCCCCCGCUCACUGGGACUGAGACACUGCCCAGACACCUACGGGUGGCUGCAGUCGAGAAUCUUCGGCAAUGGGCGCAAGCCUGACCGAGCGACGCCGCGUGCGAGAUGAAGGCCUUCGGGUUGUAAAUCGCUGUCGUAGGGGAGGAAAUGCCGGUGGGUUCUCCCAUCGGUUUGACCUAUCCUAGGAGGAAGGACGGGCUAAGGGAACGCCAGCCGCCGCAGUAA
rnacentral:rRNA from 1 species